rnacentral:misc_RNA from 1 species
AGUCGUAACAAGGUUUCCGUAGGUGAACCUGCGGAAGGAUCAUUGACACACAUCCUAACCGAUGCUUGUGCCAACAAGCAGACCCAGCGAACCAUUCUCCUAUCACUUGAGGGGCUGCAUCGUGAGGUGCAGCUGUCGGCGGUCGGGCCCUUGCUCUAGGGGCCGGAGUCCUUGCUGGUCUUACCGUAGCGGGUAAGCUCCGGCCGUCCGACGGGAGCCGUUCUUGGGCCUCGCACACGGGAGAGUGCGGGGGCGGCGUUUCCCACUCCAGCUACCCUUCGGGGCAGCUGCGCAACCAACCAAACACUAUGCAAAAACCGACUGAAGACCGAUCCUUUGCGGGCCCUCUCGAGGGCCCUGCCUCGGAUCAAAAUCAAACUAAAGACAACUCUCAACAACGGAUAUCUUGGCUCUC